rnacentral:rRNA from 1 species
UCCGUGCCAGCAGCCGCGGUAAUACGGGGGGGGCAAGCGUUGUUCGGAUUUACUGGGCGUAAAGGGCGCGUAGGCGGCGUGGUAAGUCACUUGUGAAAUCUCCGGGCUUAACUCGGAACGGUCAAGUGAUACUGCUGUGCUAGAGUGCGGAAGGGGCAACUGGAAUUCUCGGUGUAGCGGUGAAAUGCGUAGAUAUCGAGAGGAACACCUGCGGCGAAGGCGGGUUGCUGGGCCGACACUGACGCUGAGGCGCGAAAGCUAGGGGAGCGAACGGGAUUAGAUACCCCGGUAGUCCUAGCCUUAAACGAUGGAUGCUUGGUGUCUGGAGUAUUUAGUCUCCGGGUGCCGUCGCUAACGCUUUUAGCAUCCCGCCUGGGGAGUACGGUCGCAAGACUGAAACUCAAAGGAAUUGACGGGGACCCGCACAAGCGGUGGAGCAUGUGGUUUAAUUCGACGCAACGCGAAGAACCUUACCUAGGCUAGAAUGCCUCUGACAACCCCUUAAUAGGGGCCUCCCGGGUAAAACCGGGCAGAGUGCAAGGUGCUGCAUGGCUUCUCAGCUCGGUCG